ACAGGUGGUGCAUGGUUGUCGUCAGCUCGUGUCGUGAGAUGUUGGGUUAAGUCCCGCAACGAGCGCAACCCUUACCUUCAGUAGCCAGCACGUAAUGGUGGGCACUCUGGAGGGACUGCCGGGGACAACCCGGAGGAAGGUGGGGAUGACGUCAAAUCAUCAUGCCCCUUAUGGCCUGGGCUACACACGUGCUACAAUGGCGUAAACAGAGGGAGGCAGCCCCGCGAGGGUGAGCAAACCCCAAAAAUAACGUCCCAGUUCGGAUUGCAGUCUGCAACUCGACUGCAUGAAGCUGGAAUCGCUAGUAAUCGCGGAUCAGAAUGCCGCGGUGAAUACGUUCCCGGGUCUUGUACACACCGCCCGUCACACCAUGGGAGUUGGUAACGCCCGAAGUCAGUGACCUAACCGAAAGGGAGGAGCUGCCGAAGGUGGGACCAGUGACUGGGGUGAAGUCGUAACAAGGUAGCCGUAUCGGAAGGUGCGGCUGGAUCACCUC
rnacentral:rRNA from 1 species